rnacentral:rRNA from 1 species
ACGGGAGGCAGCAGUGGGGGAUAUUGCACAAUGGGGGAAACCCUGAUGCAGCGACGCCGCGUGAGCGAAGAAGUAUUUCGGUAUGUAAAGCUCUAUCAGCAGGGAAGAAAAUGACGGUACCUGACUAAGAAGCUCCGGCUAAAUACGUGCCAGCAGCCGCGGUAAUACGUAUGGAGCAAGCGUUAUCCGGAUUUACUGGGUGUAAAGGGUGCGCAGGCGGCAAAGUAAGUCAGAAGUGAAAGCCCGUGGCUCAACUGCGGGACUGCUUUUGAAACUGCUAAGCUAGAGUACUGGAGGGGUAAGCGGAAUUCCUAGUGUAGCGGUGAAAUGCGUAGAUAUUAGGAAGAACACCGGAGGCGAAGGCGGCUUACUGGACAGAAACUGACGCUCAGGCACGAAGGCGUGGGGAGCAAACAGGAUUAGAUACCCUGGUA